GAAGUGUGGACGCCAGUCUGCAUGGAGCCGACCUUGAAAUACCACCCUUUAAUGUUUGAUGUUCUAACGUGGACCCGUAAUCCGGGUUGCGGACAGUGUCUGGUGGGUAGUUUGACUGGGGCGGUCUCCUCCUAAAGAGUAACGGAGGAGCACGAAGGUUGGCUAAUCCUGGUCGGACAUCAGGAGGUUAGUGCAAUGGCAUAAGCCAGCUUGACUGCGAGCGUGACGGCGCGAGCAGGUGCGAAAGCAGGUCAUAGUGAUCCGGUGGUUCUGAAUGGAAGGGCCAUCGCUCAACGGAUAAAAGGUACUCCGGGGAUAACAGGCUGAUACCGCCCAAGAGUUCAUAUCGACGGCGGUGUUUGGCACCUCGAUGUCGGCUCAUCACAUCCUGGGGCUGAAGUAGGUCCCAAGGGUAUGGCUGUUCGCCAUUUAAAGUGGUACGCGAGCUGGGUUUAGAACGUCGUGAGACAGUUCGGUCCCUAUCUGCCGUGGGCGCUGGAGAACUGAGGGGGGCUGCUCCUAGUACGAGAGGACCGGAGUGGACGCAUCACUGGUGUUCGGGUUGUCAUGCCAAUGGCACUGCCCGGUAGCUAAAUGCGGAAGAGAUAAGUGCUGAAAGCAUCUAAGCACGAAACUUGCCCCGAGAUGAGUUCUCCCUGAGACUUAG
rnacentral:rRNA from 1 species